GUGUUGAAACACCAGUUCCCAUAUGAUCACCAAAAUUAAGCAAUGUUGAGCCUGGUUAGUAGCUAGAUGGGUAACUACUUGAGAAUACCAAAUGCUGUAAG